GACGAACGCUGGCGGCGUGCUUAACACAUGCAAGUCGAACGAAAAGAGGGAAAGAGCUUGCUCUUUCCGGAAUUGAGUGGCAAACGGGUGAGUAACACGUAAACAACCUGCCUUCAGGAUGGGGACAACAGACGGAAACGACUGCUAAUACCGAAUAAGUUCCAAGGGCCGCAUGGCCCAUGGAAGAAAAGGUGGCCUCUACCUGUAAGCUAUUGCCUGAAGAGGGGUUUGCGUCUGAUUAGCUGGUUGGGGGGGUAACGGCCCACCAAGGCGGCGAUCAGUAGCCGGUCUGAGAGGAUGAACGGCCACACUGGAACUGAGACACGGUCCAGACUCCUACGGGAGGCAGCAGUGGGGAAUCUUCCGCAAUGGGCGAAAGCCUGACGGAGCAACGCCGCGUGAGUGAUGACGGCCUUCGGGUUGUAAAACUCUGUGAUCCGGGACGAAAAGGCAGAGUGCGAAGAACAAACUGCAUUGACGGUACCGGAAAAGCAAGCCACGGCUAACUACGUG
rnacentral:rRNA from 1 species